GGAACGUGCCUUUCGGUUCGGGAUAACCCAGGGAAACUUGGGCUAAUACCGGAUACGCCCUUCGGGGGAAAGAUUCAUUGCCGAAAGAUCGGCCCGCGUCGGAUUAGCUAGUUGGUGGGGUAAUGGCCUACCAAGGCGACGAUCCGUAGCUGGUCUGAGAGGAUGACCAGCCACACUGGGACUGAGACACGGCCCAGACUCCUACGGGAGGCAGCAGUGGGGAAUAUUGGACAAUGGGCGCAAGCCUGAUCCAGCCAUGCCGCGUGGGUGAAGAAGGCCUUAGGGUUGUAAACCCCUUUCAGCGGGGAAGAUAAUGACGGUACCCGCAGAAGAAGUCCCGGCUAACUCCGUGCCAGCAGCCGCGGUAAUACGGAGGGGACUAGCGUUGUUCGGAAUUACUGGGCGUAAAGCGCACGUAGGCGGAUUUGUAAGUC
rnacentral:rRNA from 1 species